rnacentral:rRNA from 1 species
GGCAUCGUCGGUUUCUCCCUUCUGACGAACCAUGAUGUCAUUUAUUUGGUGUUGUGGGGAAUCAGGACUGUUACUUUGAAAAAAUUAGAGUGUUUAAAGCAGGCUCACGCUUGAAUACAUUAGCAUGGAAUAAUGAAAUAGGACGUUUGAUUCUAUUUUGUUGGUUUCUAGGAUCGACGUAAUGAUUAAUAGGGAUAGUUGGGGGCAUUAGUAUUCAAUUGUCAGAGGUGAAAUUCUUGGAUUUAUUGAAGACUAACUACUGCGAAAGCAUUUGCCAAGGAUGUUUUCAUUAAUCAAGAACGAAAGUUAGGGGAUCGAAGACGAUCAGAUACCGUCGUAGUCUUAACCAUAAACUAUGCCGACUAGGGAUCGGAUGAUGUUAAUUUUUUAAUGACUCAUUCGGCGCCUUACG